AUUGAACGCUGGCGGCAGGCUUAACACAUGCAAGUCGAACGAGUGGCGGACGGGUGAGUAAUGUAUGGGGAUCUGCCUGAUGGAGGGGGAUAACUACUAGAAACGGUAGCUAAUACCGCAUACCAUCAGAUGAACCCAUAUGGGAUUAGCUAGUAGGUAAGGUAAAGGCUUAACUAGGCGAAGCUCCCUAGCUGGUCUGAGAGGAUGAUCGUCCACACUGGGACUGAGACACGGCCCAGACGCCUACGGGAGGCAGCAGUGGGGAAUAUUGGACAAUGGGCGCAAGUCUGAUGCAGCCAUGCCGCGUGUAUGAAGAAGGCCUUCGGGUUGUAAAGUACUUUCAGCGGGGAGGCGUUACUCGCAGAAGAAGCACCGGCUAACUCCGUGCCAGCAGCCGCGGUAAUAC
rnacentral:rRNA from 1 species